UCCCUGGUGGCUCAGACGGUAAAGCAUCUGCCUACAAUGUAGGAGACCCAGGUUUGAUCCCUGGCUUGGGAA
rnacentral:tRNA from 1 species